GUGAACAAUUAAGGGCGCGCGGUGGAUGCCUAGGCUCUCGGAGGCGAUGAAGGACGCGAUAAGCCGCGAUAGGCCACGGCGAGGUGCAAGUAACCCUUGACCCGUGGAUUUCCGAAUGGGGCAACCCGGCUGGACAGAUUCCAGUCAUCCUAAAUGGAGGCGAACGCGGGGAACUGAAACAUCUCAUUACCCGCAGGAGAAGAAAACAACAGUGAUUCCCCCAGUAGUGGCGAGCGAACGGGGAAUAGCCCAAACCGUUGCCGUUUCGGCGACAACGGGGUCAUGGGACCGCGAUAUUCGCGAUAACAUCAAGCGCAAUUACCUGGAAAGGUAAGCCGUGGAGGGUGAUAGCCCCGUGCGCGUAAACUGUUAUCAAGAUAGCGGUAUCCCGAGUAGGGCGGGACACGAGAAAUCCUGCCUGAAUUCACCAGGACCGCCUGGUAAGGCUAAAUACUCCCGAGAGACCGAUAGUGAACCAGUACCGCGAGGGAAAGGUGAAAAGCACCCCUAGCCGGGGAGUGAAAUAGACCCUGAACCCGCGCGCCUACAAGCGGUCGGAGCCGGUCAGUCCGGUGACGGCGUGCCUUUUGCAUAAUGAGCCUACGAGUUAGUCGUCACCAGCGAGGUUAAGUCCUUCAGGGACGUGAGCCGAAGUGAAAGCGAGCCUCUAAAGGGCGUUAAGUUGGUGGCGCUAGACGCGAAACCUUGUGAUCUACCCUCGUGCAGGUUGAAGUCGCGGUAACACGUGAUGGAGGACCGAACCGGUAAACGUUGAAAAGUUUUCGGAUGACGCGAGGGUAGGGGUGAAAGGCCAAUCAAACUGGGAAAUAGCUCGUACUCUCCGAAAUGCAUUUCGGUGCAGCCUGUGGUGUUCUGUUCUAGAGGUAGAGCUACUGAUUGGACGCGAGGGCUUCACCGCCUAUCAAAUCCGGAUAAACUCCGAAUGCUAGAACACUUGAACCAUGGAGUGAGCCCGCGGGUGCUAAGGUCCGCGGACGAGAGGGGAAGAACCCAGACCACCCGCUAAGGUCCCCGAUGGACGGUUAAGUUGAUAAAACGAGGUGGGAUCGCGAAGACAGCUAGGAUGUUGGCUUGGAAGCAGCCAUUCAUUUAAAGAGUGCGUAACAGCUCACUAGUCGAGUGAUCCCGCGUGGAUAAUACACGGGCAUUAAACCGUCAACCGAAGCGGUGGGGUUAGCAGUAGCUAACCGGUAGGAGAGCAUUCCUGUCGGCGCCGAAGGUGUAUCGCGAGGUACGCUGGAGCGUCAGGAAAAGCAAAUGUAGGCAUAAGUAACGAUAAUGGGGGCGAGAACCCCCCACGCCGAAAGACCAAGGCUUCCCCGGCAAUGCCAAUCAGCCGGGGGUCAGCCGGCCUCUAAGGCUAACCCGAGUGGGGAUGCCGACGAGAAACGGGUUAACAUUCCCGUGCUUCUCGUCACCGUUACGCGGUGACGGGGUGACCAAGGAACCGCGCGCUGACGGAAUAGCGCGUUGAAGGCCGUACCCAAUGACGGUGGUAGUCAAGCACGCCACCCGAGGCGAAAGUCGAUAGUACCGCGAGGCCUCGGCCGAGCGGAUAGCGUUCCUGGCGUUAACCCCCUAGAAAACCCGCUAAACUUCAAGUGACGAGGAACCGUACUGUAAACGGACACACGUGGUCUGGUAGAGGAUACCGAGGCGCUCGAGUGAUUCAUGGUCAAGGAACUAGGCAAAAUAGUCCUGUAACUUCGGGAUAAAGGACGCUCUAGUGAUAGAGCCGCAGAGAAAUGGCCCAGGCGACUGUUUACCAAAAACACAUGGCUAUGCCAAAUCGAGAGAUGACGUAUAUGGCCUGACACCUGCCCGGUGCCGGAAGGUUAAGAGGAGAGCUUAGACGCGAGUCGAGGGUUUGAAUUGAAGCCCCGGUAAACGGCGGCCGUAACUAUAACGGUCCUAAGGUAGCGAAAUUCCUUGUCGGGUAAG
rnacentral:rRNA from 1 species